ACACAAACUUUAAGCCUUGUGAAACCGCCCAGGUGGUGUUUAAGAAAUUUUGGUAAAGAAAGAAUGGAGGAAGAAGUAUUUGAGGCAGAUUCUAGCUUGCAAGACGUGAGAAAGCUAUAGCCCGGUUUUAUUUAGUUUAGCUUAGUUUUAUUAAAUUUUUAUUUUUAAAUUGCAGCUAGUUUGAAAAUUGGUUUCUGGCAAGAGGAAAGAAAAGCCUGCAGCACUGAAGGAAGAAUCAAAGUGUUAAAAGGACGCUCAAAAUAUAGUACUGUGGCAGGCCGGGGGAUGAAAAACGAACCCCAGGCUCCAUCCCGGGAUGGCUGUCUCCUGCGACUUCGCUCUUGUUUUGCGGUGUUUUACAGGGAGGCGGAUUUCUUCCCAAUCCCUGUCAUCACAGUCCCAGAGGCCCUGGAGUUUGGAGGUUUGGAGUGCCGGGUCUGGAGUUUGGAGUGCUGGGUUUGGAGAGCCGCGCUCGGGCCGCAGAGGCAACAAGUCCUGGAUCUAGCCCGGGGCGAGCACCGCGCCGCCCCGCAGCUGAGCCAGGGGCCCGCCUCUCAGGAAUGAAUUUUGCACGUGUAAACUAUUUGCCUGUGGACGCGCACAGCUGCGACCCUCGGGCUUAUCAGGGGAAAAAACUCUUCCCUUAAAUGGACGGUUUGGAAAAACUCAGCCAUUGGUUCUUGCCAGAUGAUUAUUGAUGCAAAGUAAACCCUACGGGUUGGAGCGCGCGCGCGUUUGUUUAACCCUAAAAGUAUUCCACUUCCGAGUUGCUCAAGGUGACAUCCACUCGAAAUCGUUUGUAUUUUUUCAGUUGUUGGGAAAAUAAGUAGGAGUGAUGUGUGGGAUAUGGCACAGACACGUAUUAGUGUGAGAGGCAUAUUUCAUCAGAAAUCGAUGCCCUGCGUUGGCUGAAUUAUAGGAAAGUGGCCCCCCAAAAACUGGAAAGGCGGCUCCCAGCGCGCGCGCACACACACAUUUCUACAGAUGUGCCUUAGAAAUGCGUAGUUACAGGCUUUUUCCUGAUACUAACGCGCGGCUCUGGGAUUCGGUUUUGUAGUUUAGUAAUAUUGUUGGUCUGCUGUGUAUUUCAUGACGCAAAUAUUUGGGCACCAGUGCUGAGUGGUCGUUCAUUUAAGCACUAAACAGCGAUAUGCAAGCGCCUGCCGUGAGCCGGCUUUUAUUUAUUAUUCUUAAUUCUCCCCUAUUCAGGAACGUGGAAUACACACGUGCUGCACCAAAGAUUGGGUAGAGUUGAUCCAGGUGCUGGCAAACAAGUCUUUGCCAGUUAUUUCCGAGGAAGCCUAGAGAAACUGACUUAGAGAGAAGUUGACGAGAAAGCUGAUUGCGGAUCAGAGGCGAUUUUGUUCAUUAGCAGGGGCAACUCCUGCGCUUGGGUCUGGCGGGGCGAGCAUAUAAAAUUCAACUUUUGCCCCAUUGGUUCGCUAGGUGAAUUAGCACAUACUGGGACUGAACAGUCCUUGACCUUUGCCUUUAUGUUUGCGCAAAUGUUUGCCUAAAACACAAUCGGCCUUGACAAGGGAGCAUGCUACCGUGUGACACUGCCUAUUCACCAGAUAGAUGUUCCCUGCCACACACGACCCAGAGCAGCCUUUUAAAUAGCUUAGGUAUUUGUAAAAACCGUAUAAAUUAAUGUCCGAUGAUUGCUAGUUGCUGGUUAAAUAGAAGACAAUUUGGGUGAAGGAUACACAUCUGUCUCUGGUCUUUCCCCCACCCUGCCUUCAAAAAAGUCGAUAAGCUAAUCAGGAAACAAAACUGGUAGUAGAGGAAAGUUUAUGUUUAAGGGAGUCAACAGAUUUUUGUUUGAUCAAAUGGGCACAUGCUUAGUUCCUUUACAAAUUCUUUUCCACAAAGAUGGGGUGGUGGAUGAAGGAAGAGAGAGGAACUGUGUGGGGAAACUGAGGGACUGAUGCUCAGGACAAUUGGUAGUGGGGAGUUUUGGGAAAUUAACCCAAAGAUCCUGAAGGAUUUAUGGUUCCUGGAGGAACCGUGAGCGUAGAGAAGUUCUGAGGUGAGUGAGGGGAGGGAGGCUGGGAACCCAGUGGGACUGGGGAAGUUUUCCUGAGCUUAACAUUUCUGAAUACUUCCUCCAAUAAAACUAAAUACUUUAGCAGGAGGAGAAAAACAUCCUGUAAAAAUCUAAAAUUGGUUUAACCCCCCUUUUUAACCCCCGCAUUGUAGAUCUGAGUGAUUUAGAUGACUGGACUGCCUUUCCCUGAACUUUGACAUAGGAAAAAAAUGAACUUCCCUUGGCUGUGUUUUCUAGCUGGGUUCAAAAUUUUUCACAUUCCUUUCUUUACCAGCAAGAUGGCAAAACCACACCAAUCCAGGGCUUCAUUUCUGGGGCAGAUAGAACUACAGAAACAGGGAGAACACAUUGAAAGGAACUCAGGAAUUUGCAGUAUCCCCUUUUGGAAGUGUCAUUCCUUUGGGAGAGAGGAGUGUUUACUUUGUCCCAAAAUGAUGCAGUUGACAAGGGCAGCACCAACUCCAGCCACAGCCUGGGGUUGCAGAUUUGAGUGUCUGAGAGCCUCUUCAAUUUUUUCAAACAGUUGACCAGGUCUCUUUCAGGCUUUUUUUGAACCGUGCGCAGGUGGAGAGGAGGGUGGGUCACCAGUUUUCCUAGGAAGCCCCUUUUCUUGUUCUCUGGGCAGAAUUUGCUUUUUCUCUCUGGUUUGCUGUGAGUCAGAGUAGGGGACAGUUUGUUUAACAAAAGCUUUGUUCCCCACAGAAUUUUGGUGUAGCACAAAAGUAGCAGAAAGGUAUAAACAAAAACUCCAGAAUGCAAAAGCAAAAUAUUCAUCUGAGAACAAGCACCUUGCAGAGAAUUGUAAUAUAGAGAGGCUUAACAGAAGAGUAAAUAUAAGUGAUAUAGAAGGAAAUUAAGGAGACUAUUUUGACUUUUCAAUAAUUCCGCCUUAAGAAUUUUCUUCAUUAAUAGAUAAGAUUUAUUAGUUUAUCCUUAUUAUUUAAUAAGUUGGCAUGUAUGAACCAUUUCAAAACAGUUUUGUAAGUUUCACAGGAAACAAUGUGAAUGGUAGCCUGUAUGUUUUGACUUUAGGUUUAGAAAUGUAGGAAAUUAGACAUAGAUAGAAAUCAUACUUAAGUUCUCAGGGGAUAUUUGCUUAUUUCCUUAAACUUUUAAUCAUUUUAAAAAUUGUAUUAUUUAAAAGUAAAAUGACUCUAGGUAUUCUCUUUUUUCUCCUUGUCCCUUCUUGCCAUCCCCUGGUCUUUUAGAGAAUUUAGGAAUUAAAAAUAUAGAAAUGAACAUUUCAGUGCUCUCUCCUCUCAGAUAUUCUGCAAUGACGUGGAAAGCAAGGCAGUGAUGUGUUUCUAGACUCCAGCAACAUGUUUCCAACUAUUGUAUAUCUGUGCUUGUGGUAGAUGAGGUUUGUUCAGGUUUAUGGGUGAAUUGGGACCUAGAAUCUACAACCUAGAUGAUGAAUAUGAAAGACUUAAGUUUAAGUCUAGUUGUAAAAAUCAGCUUAGGAAUUCAAAAUAAUUUCAAAUUUGUUUAGUUCUAAAUAGAUAUAGUUUAGUAAACUAUUUACUAAACAUUUAGUUAGAAAAGUAUCUAUGUUGUAUAAAACAUACUUCACAUAUAUUCUAGGUACCGACAAUUAUUUAGUCUGUGUAUUCAUUUAGUUAUUCAAUUACAAUGAGUCAAAUUGAAGACCAGAGAUGGUCAGUUCGAUCUAUUGUGGGAAGACAUUUAGAAAUUAUGCAUAUUUCUGGCCAAACUAAAAUAUCAUUAAAUAUUUAUAUUGUGAAAUCUGUAGGUGUUUUUAUCUGGCAGUGUUCAAGAGGACAUAUAGUAAUUUAUUGAUACAAAUGACAGCAUAGCAUAAUUGCCAAACCAUUCUUAUUUAAAUGAAUAAGACAACUUUUAUGGAGAAGAAAUCUUUUUAAUCACUUCUGAAAAAUAAUAGACCUUUUAUAGUAAUUCUAUUUUCCUUAAGGCAAAAAAAAAGAAAGUUGUAAAAUUAAUUUACAACUGUAUUUGAAAAAUUAAAGUAACUGAUUUAUUCUUAUGAAUUGAGUGGUUCAGAAAAUUUGCUGAAAAUUCGUUUGCAUCUGAAAUUCACAUUCAUAAAAGGUAAAGUGAUUGCAUUUAGCUGAUACUAAAACUGUAAAAUCUUUUAGAUGAUUCUACAGUAUACAUUAACUUCUGUGUUAAUAAUAUUCUUACUGCCUUGACUAUAAAAUGACACCUGGCAGGAUGUGUGAAAUUUUAUAUUUUACCAUGAAGUGAAAUUAAAGUGAAAGAGUAAAGUUAGGUUUCAGGUGCUGGAGGGUGCACCCUAGAUUUCCUCCCAUCCUAUCCCUCAAAGAUAAUUCUUUUCCCCUAAUUUAAGCAGAUGAGAUACAUGGUGUAUAUCGUUUUGAUAAUCCUCAACAAUUACUUGCUGUUAAAUUCCAUUCUACAUGAAAACAUACUGUUUUGGAGGCAUGCGAAUUUUACUAUUAAUGACUGAGCUUGAGUUGAAGUAUGACACCUGCAGGCAUUGUGUUUGUGCAUGUGAACGGCCAGGCUGUGCUAAAGUCAGGGUUCAGAGACCAGCCAUUCCCUGGUUGGUGACAAGUUUAGGUUUUCUUGGUAAAGAAAAAGAGAGUCCAUCUCACCUCCAUCUUGAUUCACAAUCUCUGACCAAAUAAAUUCUGCUCCUAUUUCCAAUUCCUAUUGCAUCCAACAUUAGUGCCUAAUUACCUACUCCUGGCAAAGAGAAUGGGGAGGCUGUGGCAACACUGAGCUGGGCUUGGGUGCUAGAGGACAUUUGGAAGGGACCACACCAAGCUCUGCCCAAUAAGGGAGAUUUGGAUACUCAGAAAUUGUUCACUGGAUGGUCAUGGAAAAUGAGAAGUCUGGGCCCCCAUCUUAAUCCCCUUUUGUUGUGGGGGGAGAUAAAUGUUGAGUUGCUAAUUCAGAGUUAAGGAGGAGGGAACAGUGAAAAUAUUAGAGGAGGGUGCUGGCCCGGGAAAGUGCCCACACCUGAAAGGUCUGGGAACAUGUUCUCACUUGACCUUUCAAGAGUUUCCUUAGUUUGCCAACAGGGCUCUGCCAAGCACCUGUGUUAAUGGCAGCAGCAGAGCCCAGCAGGGAGUGCGGGUGAGUAAGGUACCCUGUGAGCAUGCGGAAGGGCGAGAGAUCCUUCUCUGAUUUCUCUGAAAGGCAGCUGGUGGGGGGAGUGAGGGUCCAGGAGUAAGGUUUUCCUGGCUCCCCACACUGUCACUCCCGCUAUGGUUUGUUUGUUUGUUUGUUUUGAUCUCUGUUCAUUUGCAUUCCCCACCACCUGCAGCAGUUUGGGAGCGAAGCAGGUGCAACGGGCUACACAGGGGUACACGCUGGCCAGUUCCCCAGCUCCAUCCUCCCCACUCACCUUCUCCCACCUCCUCAGACACCUCACCUCCUCUCACCUUUCCUAUUCCCUCAGUCCUUCACAAAUCUCCUCCUCAUUCUCCUUCCCAGCCCUUAUGACUUUUUUCUUCCUUUCACCCCCUUCUGCACAAACCCACAAGCUUCUAUGUCCCCCAACCAACUUUCUGAAUUCUCACCCAUCUCCUGUCCUUCAUCACCUCACCCGCUCUUCACGCCCAAACCCUGUUAAACCCCUGCACACCCUCUCACAACCCCACAGACUCCCCUUUGCCCCUGUCAUCUCUAUGCUUCCCUGAUCCUUUUACAUGUCACACCCCUCUCAUGCCUUCACCUCCUCAUCCUCCACACUCCUCACAUGCCUCCUGCAUCAUUCCCACUUCUUACACCCACUUGAUUCACAUCUCCCACACCACUCACAUGUACCCCACACCCCACACUCAGACCUGUUCUCUCACUUAAGCACAAGACAGCCCCUCAAACUGCCUUUCCCCAGGUGCUAUCUGAGCUCUUUGUCCCUUUUGGAGAGGCCAGCUUCCAGCCUCUUCCUCUCCAAUCCCUCUUCUUUCUAUGUUUCCUUCUACACCAGAGAUCAGUAUCUUCCCUGCCUCCUUCUGGAUUUCUCUUUGGAGAAGAGGACAUGGCUUCUUCCCCAUCACCUUUUUUCACCCACGAGGAGCAGCUAGUCCUCUGAUGUGGCAUCUCUGCUCUCAGUUCUGAGCUUUUCCUGGACUCUCCUUCCAGAUUUGUCCUCUGGUUUCACCCAACAAACUUAUAUAAGUGUUACAUUUCCAUCAGGAGGGUAGGUAAUAGGGUCCUUUAAACUGUGGUUCAUCAACUUGAUCAAGCCUCAGAAUCACUCAGUCUGUUAAAAAAAAAUAAAACAAAAUAAAACAACUGGAAGAUGGCUGGGCCCCAUCCUCAGAACUUCUGAUUCAGUAGACCUGAGGUAAGACCUGAGAAUUUGUAUUUUUAAUGAGUUUCCAGGUGAUAUUGAGGCCACUGCUCUGGGAGCACAUUUUGAGGAAAUUUAAGCAAUGUCUCCAUUGUCUGAAGGAUCCUAUUGCACAGUUAGAAGACAGAAGUCCAAGAGCAGAAUGAUGCUGGCUAGAUGGGAAUAGUGUUCUAAAAAUUCUCCAAACCAGAAUUGGAAUGUGAAUUCAUACUGAUGAAUGCUUAGUUUCCCAAAUCAUAUUUGUGGUUAGGGCUCCUUCUAUGAAAGGAAGGAGAAAAAGAAAGAAGGUUGUGUCACUGUCUAUUUUUCAUGAGGCUAAUGGUGUUUAGGACUGUGGGGAAUUGGGUCUUGCGUCACUGAAAGAGCUAGUGACUCUGGGUAGGCUUAUUGUUUGUGAACCUUAGUGUUUGUGUGUGUGUUAGAGAGUUUGCUAACUACCUUUGUGGUUAGGCUUCAUUCUAAAUGAACAGGCAGACUCUGGCCCUACAGAAUCACCUUCUCUAGUCUGGGUAGUGGUUACCAUGGUCACUUUCUGCUCCCUCUCCAUCUGCUUGUGGAGAAGCAUCAUAGACUUCUCCCUUCAGUCCUCCUUGAUGGCUGGAAGGUGACACAGAAACUUUUGGCCUGUUCAUGUUCUGUCUUGUCUUUUCAGUUAUCUAGGGAAUGAUUCCCUUAAUUUAUUUGAAGUUGCAAAGAUAUGUGUAUGAAGAAGGAAAAA
rnacentral:lncRNA from 1 species